rnacentral:rRNA from 1 species
AGUGAACGCUGGCGGUAGGCCUAACACAUGCAAGUCGAACGGCAGCACAGUAAGAGCUUGCUCUUACGGGUGGCGAGUGGCGGACGGGUGAGGAAUACAUCGGAAUCUACUUUUUCGUGGGGGAUAACGUAGGGAAACUUACGCUAAUACCGCAUACGACCUACGGGUGAAAGCAGGGGAUCUUCGGACCUUGCGCGAUUGAAUGAGCCGAUGUCGGAUUAGCUAGUUGGCGGGGUAAAGGCCCACCAAGGCGACGAUCCGUAGCUGGUCUGAGAGGAUGAUCAGCCACACUGGAACUUAGACACGGUCCAGACUCCUACGGGAGGCAGCAGGUGGGAAUAUUUGACAAUGGGCGCAAACCUUGUCCAACCAUUCCGCGGUGGGUAAGAAGGCCUUCCGGUUUUUAAGCCCUUUUGUUUGGAAAAAAAAGCAGCAGGUUAAUUCCCCGCUUUUCUUACGGUACCCAAAGGAUUAGCACCCGCUUACUUCGUU